UCCAUUUUGCGCGAAGGUCAAAAAACAAAAAGUGCGCUGACUUCCACUUGAAUUUUUUUUUUUUGUUUUUCCCGGCGCUUUCGGAGAAUUGGGACUAAGAAUUUCGACCUCCCCGAAGCAACAACUACAUUCACUUUUCCAGCGGAAAGGAUGAGAAGCGAAGUAUUAUUUCGACUACUUAUCGUGCACACAGACACAAAAUAAAAAAAAUUAUAACGCAGAUCGUAAAUUUGACAAUAGUCUCCCACAUAGGUCGGUUCACUGUGAUUUUUGAACUGCCGAUGCCAAAUGUGAUCUGCUGAUCGUAAAUUUGCUGUUCAAGGCAGAGACAAUAAAACGCUCGUGUUACCUCUUAAACCGCGGGUCGCGGAGCAGCGUUCACGAAUAAAAUUCCAUCCAUAAAAUUUAAUGCUUGCCACCGACCGGCGAGAAGUACCUCCAAUUGAUAAUCAUUCUGAGUUAUCACUGUGUACCCCGAAAUAGUAAUGAUUUUUAUCGAAUAAAUAACAUAAUAUUAUUUUUUCGUUUGCCGACGUUUGAAUCACUCGUGAAUCCCAAUUUUAUUAUUCGAAAUUUCAACAGAAAUACAGACUAAAUUCGUACUACAGAGUUCUAUUCAUUUUAGUGCAAUAUCACCAUGAAUAAGUGUAUUCUUUUUAGUGAAACAUCUAAAGUAUCGUCUCGACUCAUUACUUUAAUUUUAACUUAUUUCCAAAAAAUGAAAAUAGAAGGAAAUAAUGGCUAAACAUCUUCGAAUUUGGCAUAGUAUCUGCGGUAAUCAUUUCACAACUAGUGAUUGUAAGCAAUGCUCUCAAAACAUAAUCCAAACCAUUUGUCUGGGAUAGAAAAGUAAAAUAAAUUAAUGAAAUUUACAGCGAAAUUGGUAGUACUCUGAGUACGAGUAGUAAAUCGCAUCUAAUAGAAAAUUAUAUCUCUCCAUGGAUGAGUAAGAAGAAAAUGAACGGACAAACAAAGGAUUUGGAGACGUUACAAUUUACGUUUUUAAUAAACCCAGAAAAUCCUUAGAAACUUAAUCAUGUCUAAUUUACUCACAAAUAUUUUAGCGUUUUUGGUUCAUACUGUGGAUUUUACUUAUAAUGGUUUUCAAAACUAAAACCUAUGAUGUAUCACCCACAAGGAUCUAGGAAUUCGAGCCAAUCUAUUGACAAUUUUUCACACGUUGACUUGCUUGAAGAUAAUUCUACCUAUUUAGAUGAAGCCAUACAAUAUUGGAGCAAAAUAUGAAACUCAAAGGUAAUACAAUUAUGCUGACCAAGAAUCCAAUUUUAACAACGCAGAGGGCCUCAACAUAUUCAAAUAGUAAAGAAACACAUAACUAGUUUGGACAUAAAGGGAAAGUACAUCUAGUUGGAUGCGUUAAACAGGUUGUCAAACCCGUUCCCAUUUGCAACGAGGAGGGACAAACUUCUUUGAAAAAAGAGUAUGCAAUUGCCAAAAAGCUUCAGUGGCUGUUAUUAAAAUUCUUCAACUAUGGACAUAAUUGUGGAAGACUUUUAAACUAGGUACAUUCUGAUGGGUACCUAUUUCCUUUAAUUUGUGUACUUAUUUUACCUACGUUUUUCCCCCACCUCCCAUCAGAAACUAAUUAGUUACUUUAUUUAAGCAAAAAAAUACUAUUACUAUACACUGUGGCGUUAUGUUUGUAAAUAAAAUUAUUUUGUCAAUGACUAAUUUAAGAAAGCUUAAUGUUUAAAUUUUAUAAU